UGAGCAAUCUGCCCUUCUCUUUGGAAUAAGCGUUGGAAACGACGUCUAAUGCCGAAUACGACCUCCUUUCGCAUGAUCGGAGGUUGAAAGCUCCGGCGGAGAAGGAUGAGCUCGCGGCCUAUCAGCUAGUUGGUGUGGGUAAUGGCCCACAAGGCGACGACGGGUAGCCGGCCUGAGAGGGUGACCCGGCCACACGUGGGACUGAGACACGGCCCAGACCUCCGUACGGGAGGNAGCG
rnacentral:rRNA from 1 species